UACGUAGGGUGCAAGCGUUGUCCGGAAUUAUUGGGCGUAAAGAGCUCGUAGGCGGUCUGUCGCGUCGGAUGUGAAAACUCGGGGCUCAACCCCGGGCCUGCAUUCGAUACGGGCAGACUAGAGUACGGCAGGGGAGACUGGAAUUCCUGGUGUAGCGGUGAAAUGCGCAGAUAUCAGGAGGAACACCGGUGGCGAAGGCGGGUCUCUGGGCCGAUACUGACGCUGAGGCACGAAAGCGUGGGGAGCAAACAGG
rnacentral:rRNA from 1 species